GGUGGAUUAGCUCAGUGGUUAGAGCUUAGGGCUUGUGACCGAGAGGUUGCAGGUUUGAAUCUCGACUGAGGCA
rnacentral:tRNA from 1 species